GGGUGCGACCAUACCAGCAAUAAUGCACCUGCUCCAAAUCAGAACUCGGCAAAUAUGUGUGCUUGAGCGGGAGUAGUACUACGAUGGGUGACUUCCUAGGAAGUCCUUGUUUGAAGCUGAUU
rfam:Beta vulgaris subsp. vulgaris 0533.scaffold01098.con0002.1, whole genome shotgun sequence.